AGUGCUUCAGUGUGAACAUUGAGCACCAUUUUGGUGCAAUUUUUUGUUACGGUGCCCUUUUAUCGCUCCGUGAAAGCGGUCACAAAGAAACUCUGCAAUACUUGUUUGC
rfam:Klebsiella pneumoniae IS46, WGS project CBWL01000000 data, contig: c223